AUGAGUGAAGAGAAAUUUAAAAAACAAUAUAGAGAGAGAGUGAGAGGUUUCUUUAUCAGUUAGUUUGACAUGAAAGAAGCUGCUGCUUUUGGGGGUGUUUUGUUCUUGAUUUUCAUGUUUCUUCUGUCGUUGUUACUUGUAACCAUGGCCGUAUUUGCUUGCUCCAAAAAGAAGGAAAAGAAGAAGGAUUCAAGUUGCUGUUGCUGCUGUAAAGGUGGCGUUUUUGGCGGUUGCAGUGGUGAUGGUGGUGGAGGAGGAGGGGGUUGCUAGAUAAGUAGAUAUAUCACUUGGGUACUGUUUCCGUACGUAUUUGAAUUUAUGACCAAUUUGCUUAGAACAUCUAGGCAUUACCUAAAGAACAACAUGUGCCUAAUCUUAUUAUCGUUAUGCUAAAGUAAAAUCAAAUAUCUAUUUGAUAUUAGUAUGAUCGGAUCCGAUUCUUGCAUCAUCCUACUAUCAGUUUCAUUCUACUUUAAUAGUUCCAUCGUUUGUAUUUUUUCUGCACAAACUAAUCAUCUUAAUGAAUAAUUUUAUCACCAUAUCAUGUUAAAAGAAAAUUUCGACGUAAAUAUAUCAUGUCAUGAUGUAUACAAGAGAAAAAUAUAUCUCAAUCAUAGUUUUUGUAUGUAUAUAUUUUAACAUUGUUUUGAUGUUAUUUGUCCAUAGUGUUGGUCGUUGGAAUCCAAAUAGCGAGUUAUUAUUAAACAAAA